rnacentral:rRNA from 1 species
UACGAAGGGAGCUAGCGUUGUUCGGAAUUACUGGGCGUAAAGGGCGCGUAGGCGGGUUUCCAAGUCGGGGGUGAAAUUCCAGGGCUCAACCCUGGGACGGCCUUCGAUACUGGGAGCCUGGAGAUCGGGAGAGGUGAGUGGAAUUCCGAGUGUAGAGGUGAAAUUCGUAGAUAUUCGGAGGAACACCAGAAGCGAAGGCGGCUCACUGGCCCGAGACUGACGCUGAGGCGCGAAAGCGUGGGGAGCAAACGGG